AUGGUGUGCAGAGUCCGUGAGACUUUGAAACACAGAAGGCUGGAAGUGUCAUCAGCAGGAAGGAUAAAUGCAGUUGCUACUGGAUGGAAUAAACAGAAGGUCCAGGGUCUAAACCGUACUCUGCACGAGCAAAAGAAAAUGCACAGAAAGAAACAGUUCUCAGAAUCAGUUUGUUUCGUGUUGCUUCAGUUCAGAGUGACAAAUACUGGGGAUUGGAAUGGAACUAGCCGGGUACGAAGAGCCUCGGCAAAGAGCAAAACGUGGAUGCAUUUCCCGUCUUAUCCCUCAAUCUGGGAGAUGUGGCUUUCCUUUGAAGCUUUUCUGCACUGGGGAAUUGCAGCAAUUUCCUUGUGAUUCUGCUUCCAAGCCUGGGCUUACAGAAGACGGAGGCAGCAGGCAGGCAAGUUACACACAGAAGGGCAAAACAGAGCCUUCGGGAUGCUGGAAAUUCCGGACCGUGUCCCUGUAGCAACACACCACGCGGAGGUUGGUUUACUGAACUUUCUUCAUGAGAGUCCACAGUUCCUCAUACACUUGGCAACUCAUUACACAGUUAUUCCGAAACCCCUUCUGCUGAGCUUCACAUUGCCCUGCUGGCUUUCAGAGCUCCCUACUUAGACACAUUGGAUCACCCUUUCUCUCCUCCUGUCCAUCCUCCUUGGCCUGACCCUUCAUGUGGCUGGCUCUGGGCAUGUCCUUAGCCCUUUUUCCGAAUUCUAGCAGGAUUUCUAUCACAUCUGCAUGGCUUCCACUUUCUGUCUCGUCCCAGACCCAGGUUCUCAGUUGCCUCCUGAUUGCUUCCUCUAAGAGCUAUAGACAUCAGAGCUAAUUUAGGUUAAUCCAAAAUUUAGGUUCAUCUCCUCAAGGAUAACACUUGUUAUCCUUUCUGUUCCCAUCAUGAUGGAUGCCUGCAGCCAGAGAGUUAGUUUUGACUGCAACUUCCUAGUAGUCCAUUGGUCAGCAGGCACCAUUGCUUCUGUGGCAUAUAUAUCCUAAACCCCUGACAUCACCACAGUUCCAUUGCUGUCCUUCCUGCCUCCCAUCCCUCACUUCUGCAGUCCCCAGUACACACACACACAGAGCCAACAGAUUUUCCCCCCAAAAGACGGAUGUGCUUCCUUCACCCUGACAAAGUCUUCAGCAGGGCCUCCAACCUCACCCUAACUGUGUAAGGAUGAAGUCCAAACUCCACAUGUCACAGAGCCCUUCACAUCCAACCCCACUUACUUCUUGCCUAAGUUCAAAUCAAUACAUACUAUUGUUUACCUAAAGUGUGCAAGGCACAGGGAAAAUAAAGACGGGUAACGCACUGCUAGGAAACUUGCAGUCUGAAGGCGUAGAGAGACAGAAGAACUGGUGAUUUAAAAAUAAUGAGUGAAGAGCUGGGAGCGGUGGCUCACGCCUCUAAUCCCAGCACUUUGGGAGGCUGAGGCAGAUGGAUCACACAGUCAGGAGAUGGAGACCAUCCUGGCCAACACGGUGAAAUCCCAUCUCUGCUAAAAAUACAAACAAAUUAGAUGGGCGUGGUGGUGGGUGCCUGUAGUCCCAGCUACUUGGGAGGCUGAGGCAGGAGAAUUGCUUGAACCUAGGAGACGAAGAUUGCAGUGAGCUGAGAUCGCACCACUGCACUCCAGCCUGGGCAACAGUGUGAGACUCCGUCUCAAAAAAAAAAUUACGAAAUAAAAGAAUAAUGAAUGAAGUGCUGGGAAGAAGACACGCUUCCACCCACUUUUUUUUUUUUUUUUUAGACGGAGUUUUGCUCUUGUUACCCAGGCUGGAGUGCAAUGGCGCGAUCUCGGCUCACCACAACCUCCGCCUCCUGGGUUCAGGCAAUUCUCCUGCCUCAGACUCCCGAGUAGUUGGGAUUACAGGCAUGCGCCACCAUGCCCAGCUAAUUUUUUGUGUUUUUAGUAGAGACGGGGUUUCACCAUGUUGACCAGGAUGGUCUCGAUCUCUAGACCUCGUGAUCCACCUACCUCGGCCUCCCAAAGUUCUGGGAUUACAGGCUUGAGCCACUGCGCCUGGCCCCCACCCACUUUUUUAUACUCUCGGUACACUGGACGUCUCCCUGUUUCCAAAGCAGACUGAGCCUAGCAUUGUGUUUUCUGAUUUUCCUUCCUGAAAUUUCCAUUCGUCCUUCCUGCAUGAUAUUCCUACUCCAUCUUUCAGAUCCUAGUGGACUUUUUCUCUGUGAAGUUUUUUCUUACUUCUGCAGACAGCUGCUUGCUCCUUGUUCUAAAGUUGUAAAUGCAUGGGAUCAUGCUGCUGUCCCCUGGCUCACUGGAAGGCUGGAUGGUCUUUUCUAUGUCUGCAUUCUUUGCCCUCCUCUCAUUCUUUGGUACUAUGUAGAUGCCUAAUUUCUGGUCACGGAAUAAAUGAAUCCAUCACUUGGCUCAAGUUAAAAUCAACCAUCUUACCCGGAGUGAUAAACAGCUCCCUGGAGCUCCUCAGUCAUAAGUAUACUAAGGUAGCAACUUACCUAGAUGAAGCCUUAAACACCAAAAGCAUUGGCAACAAAAGCCAAAAUAGACAAAUGGGACCUAAUCAAACUCCACAGCUUCUGCAUGGCAAAAGAAACAGUCAUUAGAGUGAAUCAGCAACCAACAGAAUGGGAAAAAAUGUUUGCAGUUUACCCGUCUGACAAAGGGCUGAUAUCCAGAAUUUACAAAGAACUAAAACAGAUUUACAAGAAAAAAACAAGCCCAUUCAAAAAUGGGCAAAGGAUAUGAACAGACACUUUACAAAAGAAGACAUACAUGAGGCCAACAAACAUAUGAAAAAAUGCUCAUCAUCACUGGUCAUUAGAGAAAUGCAAAUCAAAAUCACAUUGCGAUACCAUCUCACGCCAGUUAGAAUGGCGAUCAUUUAAAAAUCUGGAGACAACAGAUGCUGGAGAGGAUGUUGAGAAAUAGGAACACUUUUACACUGCUGGUGGGAAUGUAAAUUAGUUCAACCAUUGUGGAAGACAGUGUGGUGAUUCCACAAGGACCUAGAAAUAGAAAUUCCAUUUGACCCAGCAAUCCCAUUACUGGGUAUAUAUCCAAAGGACUAUAAAUCGUUCUACUAUUAGGACACGUGUACAUGAAUGUUCAUUGCAGCACUGUUUACAGCAAAGACCUGGAACCAACCCAAAUGCCCAUCAACGAUAGACUGGACUGGGAAAAUGUGGCACAUAUACACCAUGGAAUAUUACACAGCAAUAAAAAAUGAUGAGUUCCUGUCCUUUGUAGGGACAUGGAUGAAUCUGGAGAACAUCAUUCUCAGCAAACUGACACAAGAACAGAAAAUGAAAUACCGCAUGUUCUCACUCAUAGAUGGGUGAUGAACAAUGAGAAAACAUGGACACAGGGAGGGGAGCACUACACACUGGGGUCUAUUGGGGGGAAUAGGGGAGGGACAGCUCGGGGGAGCUGGGGAGAGAUAGCAUGGGGAGAAAUGCCAGAUGUGGGUGAAGGGGAGGAAGGCAGCAAAUCACACUGCCAUAUGUGUACCUAUGCAACUAUCUUGCAUGUUCUGCACAUGUACCCCAAAACCUAAAAUGCAAUUAAAAAAAAAGAAAGCAAGACCAAUUACCUCCCCCUACUUGCCUCACUUCCUUCCUUUUAUCUUUCUUCUAGUAGAGAGAAGAGGACCUCGAGAAGACAAGCAUUUGGGAGACUGGGAAUAGUGGCCAGGAGGCCACAGGAGGGUCGCCUGAAGAAUGUGCUGGAAUGAGGGAAAGGGACUGUGGGGCAGGGUUUGGGCUGCCCCGUCCUCCGGGGCUCAUUCGAAUGCACUGUGCAGUCACUUGUGUUCUUCUACUUAAUGGAUGGUGAAUAGCUUUCCACAGGAUUUCACUUUUGCAACAUAAUUGGUAAAUGGCUACAUAGUGUUCUUUAGAUGUCUUAUAAUUUAAUUAACUUUAGAUGGUGUCUU
rnacentral:lncRNA from 1 species